rnacentral:rRNA from 1 species
CCUACGGGAGGCAGCAGUAAGGAAUAUUGGUCAAUGGAGGCAACUCUGAACCAGCCAUGCCGCGUGCAGGAAGAAGGCCCUAUGGGUCGUAAACUGCUUUUGUACCAGAGAAAACCCGAGUACGUGUACUCGGUUGAUAGUAUGGUAAGAAUAAGCAUCGGCUAACUUCGUGCCAGCAGCCGCGGUAAGACGAAGGAUGCAAGCGUUAUCCGGAUUCAUUGGGUUUAAAGGGUGCGUAGGCGGACUGAUAAGUCAGUGGUGAAAUCUCUCGGCUUAACCGAGAAACUGCCAUUGAUACUGUUAGUCUAGAGUAUAGAUGACGUUGGCGGAAUAUGACAUGUAGUGGUGAAAUACUUAGAUGUGUCAUAGAACACCGAUUGCGAAGGCAGCUAACGAAACUAAUAACUAGACGCUGAGGCACGAAAGUAGCGGGGAGUCAAACAGGAUUAGAUACCUGGUAGUCCGCACCGUAAACGAUGAUUACUCGUUGUUGGCAAUAUGACCGUCAGCGACCAAGACGAAAGACGAUAAGUAAUACCACCUGGGGAGUACGCCCGGCGAACGGUGAAAACGUUAAAAUUAGAAAGUUGACGG